CCUGCAGGGACCUUGCCUCAGUCUCGCUUCCCGCAGCCGGAGCCCGCGUGACCGCGUGCACAGCACAGCUGGCUCGGCUUUGGAGGGGUCUCCCGGGCCGGCCUCUGAAGGUGGAGGCUGACAGCCCUGGGUGGGCGCAGUCCCAGGGGCUGGGAGCCGGCGCAGGGGAGGUCCCUGCAGGAAGAGUGGGGUCCUCCCCUGGGCAAGGCCCCACUGCCCUCCACCCGUGGCUCAUCCCAGGCUGUCACAGGGACCUCUCGGACAAGACGCUGACCUCACUAACCCGGCCCCCCGCCCCAGCCCUCAGGACUCCAUGGGGGCCAGCGCUCAGCAGACACACUUAGCAGUGGGGAGCAGGGCCCGGGGCUGCCCUGGACGGAGAUGGAGGCAGAGAGGCUGGGCGGAGGGAGGGGAGGUGGCCCAGAGCCCGGGCAUCCCACGAGGACCCGAUGACCCUCUUUCUGAGCCCCAAGCCAGAGCUCUUUGCUGGGGAUCCCCCAGUCCCGGCUGCCACGCAGGUUCAGAGCAAAGGGCUUGAGCAAGAGGACGAAGCCCAGGGCCCAACGGGGACAGCAGGAGUGGAAACAGGGGAAGACGCCAGGGGCAUGAGCUGAGCUCCUGACCCCGGGAUGGACCUCUCUGUGCUGACAAGUCACGGGGAGGCCCAGGCUGCCCUCUCCACUGCCCCCAGGUGACCUGAACCGUGCACAACGCUGAACAAAUCAACGCCAUUUCCAGGGAAGCGGAAUCCAAAGUCAGAGCCUGUUCCUCCACUUUUGAGAGGCACCAGGAUGUGCCUCUCGCUUGCCCAAUCCCCCAGACUCGGGACGCAGGGCUGGGCUCUCUGCGCAUGCGCUGAUGCCGCACGCAGCACAGGGCGGCCAAGAACAGGACUCUGUCCCCUGUCCCACAUGAGCGCCACCUCCAAGCCUGCCUACCGUGGACCACUGUCAAGGUAGGACCAUAUGAAACUGCUGUAAACCAGGCAAGUGUCAGGAAUUCCACUCAGCUUCCCCUGCUCCCUCUGAUCCCUCUGAUGCCUGAAUACAUCGCCGACUUCUCACAGGGGACACGCUCCACUAAGAGGCAGCGCUCCGAGUCGGCCCAUCCAUAGGAUGGGGGAGCCCGCCGUCUGCUGGGGGUGUGGGACUCCCUCACAGGGGCCACCGGGCUCCGUGUGGCGCUGGCCCUGUCUCCAGCUCCCUCGUGGGCGGUGCGGUCCCGGCCCUACCUGGGAUGUAGAUGUCCACGGGCACGAUGCGGUCGCAGCCCCUCACCACCGAGUAGGAGUAGUGGUAGUAGCCUCCUCCGUUGGCGCAGCUGUGGGGGAGGCACCGUGAGGGGAGUGUGCCGAGGACCCGCCUGCCCACCCUCCUUCCUCACAGCUGUGGGGGAGGCGCAGUGAGGAGCACCUGCCCAGGACCCGCCCCGUCCACCCUCCCUCCACGAGGCCUCGCCCCAUCCCCACCCGCCUUCAACUGCAGGCCAGGCACCUACGAGGCUGGAACUUGUCACGGAGAAGCAAUGAGCAAA